rnacentral:rRNA from 1 species
GCGAGAAAAACUUUUGCAAUGUGCGAAAGCACGACAAGGUUAAUCCGAGUGAUUCCUGCUAAAGGAAUCUUUUGUUAGUCGUAAAACCACUGAUGAAUAAGGGGUGGGCAAGUUCUGGUGUCAGCCGCCGCGGUAAAACCAGCACCUCAAGUGGUCAGGAGGAUUAUUGGGCCUAAAGCAUCCGUAGCCUGCUCUGUAAGUUUCCGGUUAAAUCCAUUAGCUCAACUGAUGGGCCGCCGGAAAAACUGCAUAGCUAGGGAGUGGGAGAGGUAGACGGUACUCGGUAGGAAGGGGUAAAUCCUUGAUCUAUUGAUGACCACCUGUGGCGAAGGCGGUCUACCAGAACACGUCCGACGGUGAGGGAU